GCCUGAUGUUUCCUACAGUUUGUUGUAGACUGUGCCUAUAUCCUGUAUUGUCACUGGAGGUGCUCAAGAACCAUGGAGAUCUGGCACUGAGGGUCUUGAUGAGAAGAUCCCUCCUUUCCAUUUAUGAGCAUAGCAUAUGCUUCAGGAUGCACUUAGCCUUUUUUUGCCCUGGAAUCCUUGCCAGCUUUCACCUGGAAAACAACACGAGCAUACUUGUAAUUGAAGAAUGUUGACCCACGGGUGAAAACACGUUGCCUCAGCCAGGCUCUGCUAUGCGGGCUUGUUGUUAGUGUGUCAUGGAGAGCAACACAUACCUAAGGGAAGGAGUCAAUGCAUGUUGAAGAUGGGCCUGGCCAAGUUCCCUUUCCCUCUCCCGCUCCAAACGUCCCCCAGCUUCGGAAAAGUUUGCCUCCAACUCUGAACUCGCUUGGCCCCACCGCUAUAAAUAGAUGGAACAAAACCUCCCAAGCCAAAUGCCCUGAGUGUUUAGAAAGCUUUGAUCCCGCGCUGCUUUUGAGUGCUUGAUCCCUUCCUGCUAAUGCAGCUUGUGACCAUAUUGCAGCUCAAAGUGGGGUGAAGAGGGGGGAGGGGGAAGGUCUGUGCCAUGAGACCCCUGGUGUUGUCCCGUACGGUGCCAAGACACAUCCCUGGGGCUUUGCAUCCUGGUGGUCACUGUGUCACUCCCCAUGUCUGGACAGAACAGACCAUGGGUUAAGCCUCCUUGGUGCCAGCUAUGGGUUUUCCCUUCUGUUUCCCUUUUCCUGUGGGCUAAGGGCACUUGCUCUCCCCCCCCACAAACCCUGCUGGGUGUGCCUGCCUCUUAUGUCUUGGCAUUGCUUGCCUUGGCCAGGGAUGGAAAUGGAAAGAGACAAACAUCAGGAGAAUAAAAACAAAAAUAACAAAAAAAAAGGGCUGCUCUUGCAGUAUUUCCAACCCAUCAAGCCCAGGGUGGGAAUCUCACAAGAAAGCUGGCUCUCACCAAACCCCAGGCUGAGAGGGUUGGGUAGCGGCCCCAAGACUUGACGAGUCCUGCUGAGAUCCCAAUGGGUACAGAGGAGAUCAGCACUGUGGCUGUGCCACUCCUCAGCCCCCCAUUUCCCUCCCCUACUUCAAGCCAGUGCAGCCAGAGCCCUGUGUGCACCCCAGCACUCACACGGCUCCAUGGACAACCAGGACAGACAACACAGGACAGAUGUGCAGCAUCAAAACAACCUUCCCACCAUGCUGCUUUAACAUUUCCCAGCAGCUUUGUGGCAGCCCUACAGCAAACCAAGCUGCAUCAAGCUAGAUACAGGCUUCUUUGCAAAUCCCAUUUGAAAGGAAACUCUCUAGUGUUUCAAACUUCCUGCCUUCUCACCUUGCCCUGCGCAAGGCUGCAGUGCUGCAGUCACAGUUCUGUGGAAAUGCAGGAAAGCUGGUAUGAGCUGGGGCUGGCAUGGGACCAGCCCCACAGCUGCGUCCCUGGAGAGCUGGAUUAGCUAAUACCACGUUGGGAAAGGGCUGAGGUCAGCCCCAUCACCCUCUGUCACUGACAGGGACAAGAGAGCUUGGAUAUUGCUCCAGAGGGAAACUGCAACUAAAGAAGAACAGUUUUUUGAGUAAAAUGAUACAGAGCUCAUUGCAGAGAAGAGCAGUGCUCACCUCUCCUCGCUCCCUGUACCUCAUGGUACCUAUGAUAGGGCUCAGCACUGCUGGGACACCUACGACCCUCACAGGGAACACUCAAUCUGAUCAGCGUCUGCACAGCCCCCAGCCUGGGCUCACCAUAGGAACACCCAUCCUCAGCUCACCAAGGAUGCAGGGCUGGGCUGUUGAUCCCCAUCCAUCCAUACUUGCUGGGGUGCUUUGCCCCAUUUGUUCUGCUCACUCCUCACCAGGAACAACACUCACCUACCCAGGAAAAUAGCAUCCAAAAAUCACCCUGGAGAGGCUGAAAGUGGCCCCAUCACCUCCACGCACCCUGUGGUGGCUGGCAGGAGGCUACUUCGGAGGCGGGCGCUGGCGUGGGGCUUUGUUUUUUGUCCUGUUUACCCUGCCGAGAGGAACAGAGGAGUUCAGUGUGCAGGAAUCUCGUGCCCUCGCCCUGCUCCCCCGCCACACGAAAGCUGCUGAGCAAACAGGAGGACGCAGAGCCCCGCUGGCACCCGCUGCCUUUUGGUGCAGGCGGACCCACUGCCAGCUCUUGCAUAAGUGGCUGUCUCAGCUCAGUGCUGUUCUCGAGGCCUUUUUCUUCUU